UUGUGUGCAGGAAGCUCCUGGGUGGCAAAGGGCUGGCGUGUUGGAGGUGGCAGGGUCGCCUGCUGGAGGAGUCUGUUAGCGGAUGAGGACGGCUAAGUCCUCAGCAGGGCUUGGUCCUUGCUUUUUAGUUAUGACGCAUUUACCAACUUAACUUCUUUGCUUAUGUUUGUUCUUUUGUUUAAACGCUGCCUGUUCCCAGAAAGAUAUGGAGCAGUUUCUUUGUUAAGACAUCCGGCGGCUCCAGAGUUUCAAAUCUUCGGGGGCGGCUGCUACAUCCGCAGAUGAGCCUGCUGGGUGGACCUGGUGCUGUGAGCUCCCGGCUCUGGAUUAGCCUGCGUCUGAAUGUUCUCCCGAGGUGGCCUCAAGAGAACCCCUGCCUGGGAGCCGGAGCACUGGAACCCAUUCGUCACCUCUGAGCACCGAUCUCCAGACACGGACCAGCCAGGAUCACCCUCUUCCUCAGAUGUUUUCCUACCUUCAAGUGAUCCUCCCUGGACUGUGUUCUCCCACAAAUGGAAGCUGAAGAGAGUCAGCCUGAAUGAACAUAGAGCCACAGUUACUGGAGGCUGGGAGGCUGGAGAGGGG